rnacentral:tRNA from 1 species
GUGGGGCUAGUUUAUUAAAAAUGUAGGUCUGUGGAACCUAAGUAAGUGUGAUUGCACUGCCCGACU